UUUUCUCUUGGUAGAAUUUUUUUUAAUACUGAUUCAAUUUUUCUACUUAUUGUUGGUCUGUUCAGGAGUGCUAUCUAUUUCUGGUUCAAUCUCAGAAAGUUGUAUGUUUCUAGGAAUUUAUCUAUUUCCUCUAGGUUUUGUAGUUUGUGAGCCUAUAGUUGUUCAUAAUAGUCUUUGAUGAUUUUUUUUAUUUCUGUGGUGUAAGUUGUUAUGUUUCCUUUUUCAUUUCUGAUUGUGUGUUUAUCUGGAUCUUCUCCCUUCUUUUCUUGGUUAGUCUAGUGAGUGGUCUAUCAAUUUUGUCUGUCUUUUUGAAUAACCAACUUUUCAUUUCAUUGGUCCUUUGUAUUUUUGGGGGAUUUCUUAUUUAGUUCUAUUCUGAUCUUUGUUAUUUCCUUUCUUUUGCAAACUUGGGAUUUGCUUUGUCUUGUUUUUCUAGUUCCUUGAGGUGUGAAGUUAGGUUGUUAAUUUUUUAAUGUAGGCAUUUAAUGCCACAAACUUCCCUCUUAACACUAUUUUUGCUGUAUCCUGUGUAUGGUGUGUUUUCAUUUUCAUCUGAUUCAAAAAAUUUAAAAUUUCUGUCUUAAUUUCUUCAUUGACCCAGUGAUCAUUCAGGAGCAUGUUGUUUAAUUUCCAUGUGUCUGUAUAGUUUCUGAAGUUCCUUUUGGUAUUAAUUUCUAGUUUUUAUUCCACUGUGGUCUGAGAAAAUACUUGAUAUCAUUUUGAUUUUUAAAAAUUUAUAAAGACUUGUUUUGUGGCCCAACCAUGUGGUCUAUCUCAGAGAAUGUUCCAUGUGCUGAAGAGAAGAAUGUAUAUUCCAUAGUUGUUGGGUAGAAUGUUCUGCGAAUGUCUGCUAAGUCCGUUUAGUCUAAAGUCCAACUUAAAUCUAAUGUUUCUUUGUUAAUUUUCUGUCUCAAUGAUCUGUCUAUUGCUGUCCCUAUUACUACUGUAUUGCUGUCUAUUUCUUUAUGCCUAGAAAUAUUUGUUUUGUGACUCUGGGUGUUCCAGGGUAGGGUUCCCAGAGUAUAUCUUGCUGAAUUGAUCCCUUUAUCAUUACAUAAAACCUUCUUUGUCUUUUAUUACUGUUUUUGAUUUAAAGUUUGUUUUAUCUGAUAUAAGUAUAGCUACUCCUGCUUGGUUUUGGUUUCUGUUUGCCUGGAAUAUCUUUUUCUAUUCUUUAACUUUCAGCCUAUGUGUCUUUUUACAUGUAAGGUGGGUUUCUUGUGGGAGCAUAUAGUUGGAUCAUGCUUCUUUCUUUUUAAUCCAGUCUGCCAAUCUGUAUCUUUUAAGUGGAACAUUUAAUCCAUUUACAUUCAAGGUUAAUAUUUAUAUGUGAGGCUUUGAUCCUGUCAUAUUGUUAAUUGCUUUCAAAUUGUUUUAUAAAUUCUUUGUUUCUUUUUCUCUAAUUUUGUCUUUGUGGUUUGAUGAAAUUAUCAUGUUGUCAUUUUAUUCUUCUCUCUUCCUCCUUUCUGUGAUUGCUUUAUAAGAACUCUGAGUUUCAUAUUUCCAGGUGUUUUCAUGAUGGUGAAUAUUAACUUUUCAUUUCCAUUUUUAAGACGCCUUUGGCCAUUUCCUGUAGGGCCAGUCUAGUGGUGACAGAUUGUCUGAGCAUUUGCUUGUCUAAUAAAAACUUUAGUUCUCCUUCAUCUAUGAAGUAUAUUCUGGAAGGAUAUAAAAUUCUUGGCUGAUAGUUUUUUUUUUCUUUCAGCACUUUGAAAGUGCCAUCCUAUUCUCUUGUGGCCUGUAAGGUUCCUGCUGAAAUGUCCGAUAUUAGACUGAAGGGGUUUCUUAUAUUGAUAACUAGACUUUUUUCUCUGGCUAAUUUGAAAAUUCUUUCUUUCACUUUUACUUUAGACAUUCUGAAUAUAAUAUGCCAUGGUGCAGUCUUUUUUGCAACGUAUUUUCCUGGAGAUUGCUGGGACUCCUAUAUCUGGAUGUCUAACUUUCUUGCUAGAUUUGGGAAGUUUUCAUCAAUUAUUUCCUUAGAUUUUCUAAACUUUUUUUUAUCCCUCUUCCCCCUCAGGAAUGCCAAUAAUUUGUAAGUUCAGUCACUUUUUGUAGUUCCAUAUGUCUUGAAGGCUUUGUUCAUCUUUUUUUCCUUUUUUUUUCUUUUUGUCUGACUGGAUUAUUUCAAAAGACCUGUCUUCAAGUUCUGAGAUUCUUUCUCCUACUUGGUCAAGUCUAUUAUUGGAGCUUUCAAAUGUAUUCUGUAUUUGCUUCAGUGCAUUUUUUUAAUUCCAAAAUUUCUGCUUUGUUUUUUGUUUUUGAGACAGGAUCUCUCUCUGUCACUCAGGCUGGAACACAGUGGUGCAAACACAGCUCACUGCAACCUCAAUUUUCUGGUCUCAAGUGAUCCUCCCACCUUGGCCUCUUGAAUACCUGGGACUACAGGUGUGUACCACCAUGCCCAGCUAGUUUUUGAAUUUUUUUGUAAAGACAGGGUCUUGCCAUGUUGCCCAAGCUGGUCUUGAACUCCUAUGCUCAAGUGAUCCUCCUGCUUCAGCCUCCCAAAGUGCUGGGAUUAUACAGAUAUGGUGACCAGUGAAGGGACCUGAAUGAAGGUUACUGAUGUCUCUGAGACUCCUUGAGGAACACAGAAAAGAUGCUGCUAACCUCCCCUUUAAGUGGUGGGGGGUGGGUCCCCUGUCUUCCUCCUGGAGCCCUGAGAAUCCUGUUUUCCUCCAAAAUCUGGCUACAACUAAGAACAAAAACUGCUAAACUGGACAACUCAACAUAAAUUUCAAAGGACAAGUCUCAUGCCUGAUGUGUGAACUACAUGCGGAGUUGAAUAUAAUGCCUGCUAGCACAACCAGAGACAUUCAACUGCAAAUCAGGACGAGAAGUUGCCAACUUCAUGCUGUGGAGUUUUUCCCAAGAUGCAUGGAAUGAGACUCCCUAUCGUAGUAAGCUUCCUGAGGCUUCCCUAGAAGCUGACCUGAUGCCAGCACCAUAUUUCCUAUAGAACUUGCAGAAUGAUGAGCCAAUUAGACCUCUUUUCUUCAUAAAUUACCGAGUCUCGGAUAUUUCUUUAUAGCAAUGCAAGAACAGCCUAACAUAGAAAAUUGGUACCAAGGAUGGGCAUUGCUCUAAAGACACCUGAAAAUGUGGAAGUGACUUUGGAACUGGGUAACAGGCAGAGGUUGGAAGAGUUUGGAGGACACAGAAGAAGAUAGGAAGACAAGGAAAUGUAUGGAACUUCUUAGAGAUUUGUUAAGUGGUUGUGACCAAAAUGCUGACAGAAAUAUGGACGUUGAAGGUCAGGGAAAUGAGAUCUCAGAUGGAAAUGAGGAACUUACUGAGAACUGGAGUAAAGGUCACCCAUGUUAUGCGUUAGCAAGGAACUUGGCUGCACUCUGCUCAUGCUUUAGGGAAUUUGUGGAAGUUUGAACUUUAGAGUGAAGAUUUAGGGUAUCUGGUGGAAGAAAUUUCUAAGCAGCAAAGUGUUCAAAAUGUGGCUUAUUUCUAACAACCUAUGCUCAGAUGUGAGAGCAAAGAAAUGACUAAAAGUUGGAUUUAUAUUUAAAAGGGAAGCAGAGCAUAAAGUUUGGAAAAUGUGCAGCCUGGCCAAGCGUCAGAGGGAAAAAAAAAAAGCUUUUUCAGGAGAAGAAUUCAAGCAGGCUUUGGAGCAACCACUUGCUAGAGAAAUUUGCGUGACUAAAAGGAGCCAAGAGCUAAUAGCCGAUACAAUGAGCAAAAGGCCUCAAGGGCACUUCAGAGAUCUGCUUGGCAGCCCCUCCCAUCACAGGCCCAGAGGCCUAGGAAAAAAGAAUGGUUUCCUGGGCCAUGUCCAGGGCCCUGCUACCCUGCACCGCUUCAGGACACUGCUGCCUGCAUCUCAGCCACUCCAGCUCCAGCUCCAGCUCCACCCCUGGCUCAAAGGGGCCCAGGUACAGCUUGAGCUGAUACUUUGGAGCCUCUCACUGCUCACUGCAUCUCAGCCACUGCAGCUCCAGCUCCAGCCAUAGCUCAAAGGAGCCCAGGUAUAGCUUGAGUUGACACUUUAGAGAAUGCAAGCUGUAAGUCUUGGUGGCUUCUAUGUGGUGUUAAGCCUGCAGGUGCACAGAAUACAAGAGUUAAGGAGGUCUGGCAGCCUCUGCCUAGAUGUCAGAGGAUGCAUGAGAAAGCCUGGUUGUCCAGGCAGAAGCCCGCUGCAGGGGUUGAGCCCUCAGAGAGAACUUCUACUAGGACAGUGUGGAGGGGAAACGUGGAGUUGGAGCCCCCCGACAGAGUCCCCACUAGGGCACUGUCUAGUGCAGCUGUGGGAAGAGGGCUACCACUCUCCAGAUCCCAGAAUGGUAAAUCCAGUGGCAGCUUGCAACCUCAAGGCAGAAAAGCCACAGAUGCUCAACAUCCUGUAAGUUUAGCCAUGGGGGCUGUACCCUGCAAAGCCAAAAGGGUAGGGCUGCCCAAGGCCUUAGGAUCCCACCUCUUGCAUGAGUGUGCCCUGGAUGUGGGACAUGAAGUCAAAGGAGAUUAUUUUGGAACUUUACAAUUUAAUGACUGCCCUGCUGCAUUUCACACUUGCUUUUGGUUGAUUUUUCCCAUUUAGAAUGGUAGUGUUUACCUAAUGCAUAUACCCCAUUGUAUCUUGAAAUUAAAUAACUUGUUUUUGAUUUUACAAGCUCAUAAGUGAAAGGGACAUGCCUUGUCUCAGAUGAGAUUUUGGACUUUUGAGUUAAUGUUGAAAUGAGUUAAGACUUUGGGGGAAUUAUUGGGAAGGCAUGAUUGUAUUCUGCAAUGUGAAAAGGACAUGAGAUUUGGGAGGGGCCGGGGCAGAAUGAUAUAGUUUGAAUAUUUGUCCCCACCCAAAUCUCAUAUUGAAAUGUAAUCUCCAGUGUUGGUAGUGGGGCUUGGUGGGAAGUGUUUGAUCAUGGGGGAUGGUUCCCUCAUGAAUGGCUUGGGCCAUCCCCUUGGUGAUGAGUGAACUCUCACUCUGAGUUCACAUGAGAUCUGGUCGUUUAAAAGGACGUGGCAUCUCCUUGCCUCUGCCACUCUCUCAUUUGUUCCUGCCUUUGCAAUGUGAUGUGCCUGCUCCCCCUUUUCCUUCUGCUAUAAUUAUAAGUUUCCUGAGGCUUCCCGAGAAGCCCAGCUGAUGCCAGUACCAUGCUUCCUACAAAGGUUGCAGAACUACGAGCCAAUUAAACCUAUUUCCUUCACAAAA